rnacentral:rRNA from 1 species
UACGGAGGGUGCAAGCGUUAUCCGGAAUCACUGGGUUUAAAGGGUGCGUAGGCGGCUAUGUAAGUCAGUUGUGAAAUACCUCGGCUUAACCGAAGGAAGUGCGAUUGAUACUGCGUAGCUUGAAUCAGGUUGAGGUAGGCGGAAUGUGACAUGUAGCGGUGAAAUGCUUAGAUAUGUCAUAGAACACCGAUUGCGAAGGCAGCUUACUGGGCUUUGAUUGACGCUGAGGCACGAAAGCGUGGGGAGCAAA